UUUAAAAAAGAAAGAAAGGCUGAGACCAGUUCAGGCCUUUCCUUUCUCCUGGCGACACCUAGAGCCUGUUGAGGGGAAAUUCCACUGUUCUCAAUCCAAACACCCACAAUUCAAUCCCUUUAAGUCAGAUUCCAAGAAAAAGUGCACCUUACUGUCUGCACUGCAGCUCAGUCGUCUUCUCAAGACUCCUAAUAAUUUUGUCCUCAAGUGUUUUCCAUCCUUUCCAAGGGACUUCAGUCCUUCAACCAGAGGUCUGAAGAAUGCAGCCAUUUUCCUUGGGACCUGGUCCACUGGAUUGAGCUGCAUCUCUUUGCUGUCUGUCUAUCUAACCAAGGGAUUCUAGAAAUGAUCCGAGACAUAACUAAAAAUCAUCACAAGCCCUGAUGCCGGUUACGCCUCUGUGUGCCCGAGUGUGCAAAGCACAUCUCCCACAGACUUUGCCAUCUCUGUGAAAGCCUUCCUAUUGCAGGUUCUCUAUCAUCAAACAAAACAAAACUACCAGUAAGAACAUUACCUCGCUGCUUUUGUAUCGAAAUUUGAAAAUUAUUUCCAUGGAAAUACCCCCACACACACACAAACACACUUCUUGCACAAAGAAACACCAAUGAUAAGGCAAUGUGACCCAAGAGGAGACCCGUUGAAUGGCUACGACCUCCUGCUCGCUGGGUGCAGGCAGACGCACGCCGCCCUGGGAGUGUGAGGAAGACUGGAGGCUUGGGCAAGGACCCCACGUGCUGCACAACUGCUCAAAGAGACCCCAAUAAGGAGACCGCUCAAAGGCGCAGGAAGUGGCUUCUACAAGCCAGCCCUGCACUCUGAACCUUUAAAAGGGAUUCGACCUGUCAUCUCAGGAGCCAGCUCCCACCCCGCAGGAGUCAUCGGUUACUAGGGCGAUAUGCAAAUUAAACUCUUGAAACCCAGGCUUCCAGCCCGAGAAGAGUAGGACUCUGCUCUGAGAGAAGUUUUCAGGGCACAGGCAGUCUGCAGACUUGCUAGCCCAAGGGUAGGAGCUGGAAGAUGGGCACCACCUGGUGCCUAUCAGCAAAACUGUGCUGGGCCUGGGGCAGGGCUUGGGGGCCCAGGCUAGUACUUUUAUAUUUUUCCCAAAAAGAUCACUGCCGCCACCACCACUGGAGGAGAAAGUGUCUGGUGGUAUCUUCAUCAAGGGACAGAGUAGGGAGGCGGAGGGGGCGCCGUGGGUAAAAUCUAGUGACAGGUGAAAGGAGGGGACUUGAUGAUCCCCGAGCCUUAAAGCAGGACAAUGAAUUUCUUUGAGAAAACAAGUCAACUUGUAAGCGCAGGCAGAUCUAAUUCCUUCCUCGGACCCACAGCAACCUGCGUUAGAAGCAGAAAUUCACGCCUCCAGGGAGCCCGAGCGCAUUCCAGACCCCAGCUCCAAAGCCCUGCUAGCUUCGGCCACGAACUCCCGGCCCCUCCACGGCAGGCAGACCCGCUCCAGAGGGCGGCGACCGCGACCCAGCGCUCUGGAGCUGGUCGGAGCCCACGGGGCCCAGAGCAGGGGAGGGGACCAGGAAAGGGCGACCGGCCGCCGACCCCCAGCCCGCGCGUCCCCGAUGCGCCCGGCCCGAGCCCGCUGCCGCCCCGCCCUCUGCGGUGCGCUUACCUCCUCCUCGUCCCCGUCGCUCCGCGCCUGGUACUGGAACCGGGGCCGGCCGCCCGCGCCCCCUCCGCCGCCGCCGCGCUCCCGGGGCGCAGCCCCUGCGCCUGCGGGCCGAGGGGCUUGGCCGCGCCGCCGCCGUCGUCCUCCGGGCCCCUGGGCGCCCAGGAGGUGGCUGGCCCUCGGGGAGCGGCGCGGGGAAGGAGCGCGACGUGUUGAUCUUGCCCGUGAAACGCUGAUACAGCGAAGCCAUCGGGCCCGCGCGCUCUCGCCCGUGCUCUGGAAUAUUUGCUCUGGGGUGCUUUGGAAUAUUUUGCUUUCUCUGCUGUCUCUCGGUUUCCCGCGCCCCACCCCCUCCAGAAAGAAAGAAAAAAAGAAACAGGAGGCAGUAGGGAAGAAGAAGCGGCAGAAGAAAGGCGAGCCUGCGGCGGCCGCUGCUCUGCGCGCCACUCUGAAGUCGCCGCCGGGCGCCUCCGCCUGGCUCAGCCUCCUGCGCCCCCUCGCGCGGCUCCGCCAAGGCCGGGUCGGCGUGUGUGCGCUUUCUCUUUGCUCCUUUUUUAUUUUUUUUAACUCCUUGCCACGGCCACGUACGGCCUAAUCAAAGAGAUGGAAGGAGAGGGGGGAAAACCCCCCCCAAAAAAUCAAGGGAGGGAGAAAGCCUAGGCCCAGUUAUUUGGCACCACCUAGAGACCGCACGUCCAGAGCGCAUCUCCACGCUCCCCCGCCCGGCCCCCCGCGCGGCUCCUCCUUCGCUCUCCACAGCCAGACGGCGGGAGAAGCGGGAGCACCUGGGAUCCCAGCAACUUUUCCCAACUUGCUCAGUCGGUUCCCUCCUCCCCAGCCCCACACCGAAAAGAAGCCACAGGGGCAUGGUGACCCCACACGUUGUGCACCACCCAGG
ensembl:lncRNA